ACGAACGCUGGCGGCAGGCUUAACACAUGCAAGUCGAACGCCCCGCAAGGGGAGUGGCAGACGGGUGAGUAACGCGUGGGAAUCUACCCAUCUCUACGGGAUAGCUCCGGGAAACUGGAAUUAAUACCGUAUACGUCCUGAGGGAGAAAGAUUUAUCGGGGAUGGAUGAGCCCGCGUUGGAUUAGCUAGUUGGUGGGGUAAAGGCCUACCAAGGCGACGAUCCAUAGCUG
rnacentral:rRNA from 1 species